rnacentral:miRNA from 1 species
GGAAUGGAACCUGGGGUUCCCAAGGCCGAUCAUACACUCAGGUCCUCUGGGCCCUCCCCCCAGCCCCCAGGCUGA